rnacentral:rRNA from 1 species
AUUGAACGCUGGCGGCAGGCCUAACACAUGCAAGUCGAGCGGAUGAAGGGAGCUUGCUCCUGGAUUCAGCGGCGGACGGGUGAGUAAUGCCUAGGAAUCUGCCUGGUAGUGGGGGAUAACGUCCGGAAACGGGCGCUAAUACCGCAUACGUCCUGAGGGAGAAAGUGGGGGAUCUUCGGACCUCACGCUGUCAGAUGAGCCUAGGUCGGAUUAGCUAGUUGGUGGGGUAAAGGCCUACCAAGGCGACGAUCCGUAACUGGUCUGAGAGGAUGAUCAGUCGCACUGGAACUGAGACACGGUCCAGACUCCUACGGGAGGCAGCAGUGGGGAAUAUUGGACAAUGGGCGAAAGCCUGAUCCAGCCAUGCCGCGUGUGUGAAGAAGGUCUUCGGAUUGUAAAGCACUUUAAGUUGGGAGGAAGGGCAGUAAGUUAAUACCUUGCUGUUUUGACGUUACCAACAGAAUAAGCACCGGCUAACUUCGUG